GACGAAGGGGGCUAGCGUUGUUCGGAAUUACUGGGCGUAAAGCGCGUGUAGGCGGUUGCCCAAGUCGGGUGUGAAAGCCUUGAGCUCAACUCAAGAAAUGCACUCGGUACUGGGUGACUAGAGGACCGGAGAGGAUAGUGGAAUUCCCAGUGUAGUGGUGAAAUGCGUAGAUAUUGGGAGGAACACCAGUGGCGAAGGCGGCUCACUGGACCGGUACUGACGCUGAGGCGCGAAAGCGUGGGGAGCAAACAGG
rnacentral:rRNA from 1 species